UGUAUCUUAGUUUAGAUAGAAUAUUUACUUUUGGUGUAAAGGGGUUUAGAUACAU
rnacentral:tRNA from 1 species